rnacentral:rRNA from 1 species
UACGUAGGUGACAAGCGUUGUCCGGAUUUACUGGGCGUAAAGAGCGCGCAGGCGGUCGUUCAAGUCGAGUGUGAAAGCCCCCGGCUCAACUGGGGAGGGUCACUCGAUACUGAUCGACUCGAAGGCAGGAGAGGGAAGUGGAAUUCCCGGUGUAGUGGUGAAAUGCGUAGAUAUCGGGAGGAACACCAGUGGCGAAGGCGACUUCCUGGCCUGUUCUUGACGCUGAGGCGCGAAAGCUAGGGGAGCGAACGGGAGUUAGAA